rnacentral:lncRNA from 1 species
CUUCCGCCCCACGUGCGCUUCCGCCACCGGUGCGGAAGAGUGUCAGGGUAGUGGAGCGGGGUGUAGGCGAGAAGCUCCCGAGUUACGGAUAGGCCGAGGCCUCCUAGUAGUCCUGCCUCCUUCUCACACCCGGGAAGAGGGCGGUUCAUAUCUCACCUCGCCCGGAGCCGACUGGUUUAGCCCCGCCUUUUCCGUCCCGUUAUAUAAAGCGGUUGGCUACCCUGCUGUCAGUCAGAUGCAACCAGAGCGGCUUGAGAAGGGCUCUGGGUUUGUUUUGCUGGGCGGCUUUAUGUCAGCUUGGCUGUCAGCUGCAAGAGUGCUUUGAACUUUUAGGUGGAAAAUGCCGGAAAGUAACUUCACAGAGUGGAGCGACAUUAGCGCGGUGCAGGAUGUGGAAUUCGUGUUUGGCGUCCUAGGCAUCCCCCUUGUAUCCCAGGAGCUGGACAUCAGUUGUCAUCUGUGCAGAAGAAUUGGAAAAUAAUGAUCUUCUGGUGCUGUGACUUUGCUAGGAGACGUAGAUGCUGUUACUAAACAGGGCCUUGUUCAUGCUAGAUAAAUGCUCUACCACUGAGCUACAUUACCAAUCUCAAGAAGCUUGUUUUCUGCCAGGAGAUAGGGGAGCCUGGUGGUUAAGAGCAGUCUCUGGGCCAGGUGGCCUAAAUGAAAGAACUGGCUUGAGAAUGAUUUGAAAGAAUAAAGGGUCACAUAAGCAAGAAUCUUGCUAAAUG